GUGGGGAAUAUUGGGCAAUGGGCGAAAGCCUGACCCAGCAACGCCGCGUGAAGGAAGAAGGUUUUCGGAUCGUAAACUUCUAUCCUUGGUGAAGAUAAUGACGGUAGCCGAGAAGGAAGCCCCGGCUAACUACGUGCCAGCAGCCGCGGUAAUACGUAGGGGGCAAGCGUUGUCCGGAAUGAUUGGGCGUAAAGGGCGUGUAGGCGGCCUGGUAAGUCUGGAGUGAAAGUCCUGCUUUUAAGGUGGGAAUUGCUUUGGAUACUGUCGGGCUUGAGUGCAGGAGAGGUAAGUGGAAUUCCCGGUGUAGCGGUGAAAUGCGUAGAGAUCGGGAGGAACACCAGUGGCGAAGGCGACUUACUGGACUGUAACUGACGCUGAGGCGCGAAAGUGUGGGGAGCAAACAGGAUUAGAAACCCCAGUAGUCC
rnacentral:rRNA from 1 species